CCUACGGGAGGCUGCAGUGGGGAAUAUUGCGCAAUGGGCGAAAGCCUGACGCAGCGACGCCGCGUGAGGGAUGAAGGUCUUCGGAUCGUAAACCUCUGUCAGCAGGGAAGAACGGUCACUGUGCUAAUCAGCAGUGAAUUGACGGUACCUGCAAAGGAAGCACCGGCUAACUCCGUGCCAGCAGCCGCGGUAAUACGGAGGGUGCGAGCGUUAAUCGGAGUUACUGGGCGUAAAGCGCUCGUAGGCGGUAUGUCCAGUCAAGGGUGAAAUCCCCGCGCCAAACGUGGGAACUGACUUUGAAACGGGAGACUGGAGUGUUGGAGAGGAGAGUGGAAUUCCAGGUGUAGGAGUGAAAUCCGUAGAUAUCUGGAGGAACAACAGUGGCGAAGGCGACUAUCUGGAACAUAACUGACGCUGAGGAGCGAAAGCGUGGGUAGCAAACAGGAUUAGAUACCCGAGUAGUC
rnacentral:rRNA from 1 species